UGCCUAAGGACAUAUGAACUCAGGAGCAGCUCUGAAGUGCAAGGAGGUGAAAGAGCUGUGUGCUGUGUUACAGCUUCUUCUCCAGGCUGAGGAACUGGGUCUUGCCUAACUACAAGGGGAUAGCUGCCAAUCAGAACUUCCAGUAUAUCCAAGGCCGAGUAACCUUCUUUUAGGUGUCUCUCUGCCUUGUCUAUACUGAGAUGCAAGGGCAGCAAGAAAAUCUGUAAACAUCCUAUUAAAGCCAGAACAUGACAUUUUAAGAACUUUCAUUUCACCACAGAGGUGAAAAAAGAC
rnacentral:lncRNA from 1 species